rnacentral:rRNA from 1 species
GAUGAACGCUAGCGGCAGGCUUAACACAUGCAAGUCGAGGGGCAGCAUGAUGAAACUUUCGGGUUUCAUUGAUGGCGACCGGCGCAAGGGUGCGUAACGCGUGAGCAACUUGCCCUUAUCAGGGGGAUAACCGGUGGAAACGCCGACUAAUACCCCCAUAGCAUCACUUUAAGGCAUCUUUUAGUGAUUAAAGAUUCGGAUAAGGAUGGGCUCGCGUGACAUUAGCUAGAUGGCGGGGUAACGGCCCACCAUGGCGACGAUGUCUAGGGGUUCUGAGAGGAAGGUCCCCCCACAACUGGAACUGAGACACGGUCCAGACU